AUCCAGAACUUUGAUCAUGGCUCAGGAUGAACGCUAGCUACAGGCUUAACACAUGCAAGUCGAGGGGAAACGACAUCGAAAGCUUGCUUUUGAUGGGCGUCGACCGGCGCACGGGUGAGUAACGCGUAUCCAACCUGCCCACCACUUGGGGAUAACCUUGCGAAAGUAAGACUAAUACCCAAUGAUAUCUCUAGAAGACAUCUGAAAGAGAUUAAAGAUUUAUCGGUGAUGGAUGGGGAUGCGUCUGAUUAGCUUGUUGGCGGGGUAACGGCCCACCAAGGCUACGAUCAGUAGGGGUUCUGAGAGGAAGGUCCCCCACAUUGGAACUGAGACACGGUCCAAACUCCUACGGGAGGCAGCAGUGAGGAAUAUUGGUCAAUGGACGAGAGUCUGAACCAGCCAAGUAGCGUGCAGGAUGACGGCCCUAUGGGUUGUAAACUGCUUUUAUAAGGGAAUAAAGUGAGUCUCGUGAGGCUUUUUGCAUGUACCUUAUGAAUAAGGACCGGCUAAUUCCGUGCCAGCAGCCGCGGUAAUACGGAAGGUCCGGGCGUUAUCCGGAUUUAUUGGGUUUAAAGGGAGCGUAGGCCGGAGAUUAAGCGUGUUGUGAAAUGUAGACGCUCAACGUCUGCACUGCAGCGCGAACUGGUUUCCUUGAGUACGCACAAAGUGGGCGGAAUUCGUGGUGCAGCGGUGAAAUGCUUAGAUAUCACGAAGAACUCCGAUUGCGAAGGCAGCUCACUGGAGCGCAACUGACGCUGAAGCUCGAAAGUGCGGGUAUCGAACAGGAUUAGAUACCCUGGUAGUCCGCACGGUAAGCGAUGGAUGCCCGCUGUUGGACUGAAUAGGUCAGCGGCCAAGCGAAAGCAUUAAGCAUCCCACCUGGGGAGUACGCCGGCAACGGUGCAACUCAAAGGAAUUGACGGA
rnacentral:rRNA from 2 species